AUGAAUACUAAACCCCUAAAUAAUGAAUACUAAACCCAAUGGUAGUAUUUACUUUUAUAAAGCCUAAUAUAUACAUUUGUAUGCACGAGAACUUAUACUUUUAGUUAUUUGCUCAAGUAAUUAUUAUUGACAGAAAAAGUGAUUAUUGUUAUGAAGAAAUGUAAUUAAUAUUUUAAAAGUAUUACAUUUUUCACAAAAAUAUAUAAAAAAUAUAAAAGAAAAUAAAGAAAAUACCGGAAGGGAUAAAAACACCAAAACUAUAAAAAAAAUGCAAAAGAAAAACAGUAAAUUAUAAAAAAAA
rnacentral:lncRNA from 1 species